AAAAAAUUCAUUAAACCUCUAAGUCAAACACAGUAUGGCCAAAUAAACGAUCAAUAAUUGCACGUUUCUGGUUAUGUUUUUAAGUAAUAUUCUUUGUUUAAACCACUAACGCAUUUAGUGACAUUAGCGUAUUACCGAUUGUAAUCCUUAGAAAAAUUACUUCUAAAAAAGAAUUACGCAAUUAAUUGUUAAGAAAGAGGCAAAUAAAAAGAAUGGCUAUGAGUAAGUUCAAUGCAUCAAAUACGUUGACGCAUAGAAAAGCAAUAUUACCUUCCGUAUUUCAAGUAAAUUUUUUUAAAGGAUUUUGGUACACAACACUUAUAAUCAAUCUCAAUCAAGUAGCAACAGAUGUUUAAAUGAAGAAAAAAACCAAAUCGGGUUUAUGUCUCUUCGAUGAAGAAUUUAUCUUAUUGAAAGCGUACCACCGGGUCUCUCGAACAACAACUGCAUCGACUAGCUCUUUCUACAAUAGUUUGGAUGACUGACCACGUUACUGUCAGCAGCUGUCAAUAAGUAUACACCGUAAGUCAGGCACGCUUCUACUGAAUUGUAAAAAAUAUAACGUUACACAUUAACCACUGCAGUGCUUACAUUCUUCUAUAAGAUAUCCAAUAUCACCAUAAACGGCACAAGAGAAAAAAUGGCAAAUAUUGAAAAUUCAUAAUAGUUAUCUUUAUCGAUAAAUCUGUUUUAAUAUUUAAUCAGUUCUUAGACAGUUGAAACGUUACUAUUUCCGAAGAUACAAAAAAUCAAAUAUUUUUAUAAGAAAAGAGUAAAUAGCUUUAAAUUAAUAAAUUAUUAAGAAAAAAAAAUUAUUAGUUAAUUUACUUUUCAAAGAAGCUAUGUUCCAUUAUUAUAAUAUUUCUAUAUCUGAAUUCAAUACCAAAUAAAUAAUACAUACUUCUUAUAAUUAAAAAGAAAAUAAUUGAAAUAAAGAAAAGUUUUAAGGAGCAUUUGAAAUGAGCCUUAUUAAAAAUUCUAAUAACUACUUAAGUAGUAGUAUUUUUCUCAGAAUUGCGGUAAUUUUUUGUUAAUUUAUGAUCCAUGAAUAGGUUGCGUAUGUCACUAUAAGAAAUAUUACAUUUUUUGUAGUAAAUAAAUUAUAUUUCGAGAAAGACAGGCCAUUUUUAAUUAUUUAAUUGAAAUUCCA